GAAGUAAACCCAGUUCAAUAUAGUAUAUUAAUUAGAUCUAUUACCACAGCAUAAUGUAGCUUUUUCCCAAACCUUCCACUACUCUCUGUCUAGCACUCCUUUUCCAAAGCCUCCACCCUAUAAAUCUAGUCUUUUUCUCCUGCAUCUCUAGUUAUUCUAUACCUUAUUAACAGUGUUAUUGUACACAUAUAUGGCUUUUGUACCACUUCCCACAGACUAACCUUUAGGACAGGCAUAGCCUAAUGCUGCUGGGUGUACUGAAGCUUUAAGAGUUUCAUGGCUGGAUAGCUAUUACUGCUUGGCAAAAGGCUUCCUUCCUUUCUCUCCACAGUCCAGCUAUUUCUAGGCAGGGAAGAAAAGGAAAGCUGUAGUGGAUGACACUAUCAACUGGCAGGGUGUAGGAGGCACUCCUGGAAGCAGUGAUGGCUUCUGGAAAGCACAGGUAUUAGUGCCUACAUUGCCUCUACUGCUCACAAGCCUGUCCAGGUGUACAUAUGACCACAAAGACAGGUGUCCUUAAGAGUAGCUUCUGGAUUUUGGAUCCAAUUCAUGAUACAGUCAGCUCUAGAUUAUGAGAACAUUGACUACUAGUGGAAUAUCAAAUCAGGUGAAUUACAGCACACCUAACAUCUAGCUAGUGAAAAAACUUCACCCUUGAGUUGACUGUCAGCAAUAAUGGGGUCAAGAUUAACGACCUAAACAAAACAAAUCAUAAAGCUCUUGAUUGAUUUAAGAGGCAGAGUUCCAGACCUAUCACGUUUUAAUUUCCUGUUUGUGAUUGAUGUUUUCACUUGUUAGUAUCCUUGCUGUGGCCCUGAUCCUGCAAACUAUCCCACACAUGAGGUCAGUGGGGCUUUACCUGCUCACGGGAGUCCACCUGCUUAGAGUCACUUGCAAAACUGGGGCCUGCUGUAGUUCCAGAUAUCGUUCCAAGACGGAACAGAACUCAGACUAACCACUUUUUUUCCCAGUGAGUGAACUAAUCCUUGCUAUAUUACAUAAACACACAUCAUGCCAGACAGUAAGCCAGUAAUAUGAUACCUACUGUAGAUGUAUAACAUCUUCCUCAAUGUUUUUAGCCAGUGCUCUGAAUCUGAAUCGGAGAACUCUAUAAAUACUAUCCAGUUCUCUAAUGUUGUAAAGCUGGCUGCCUACAUAAACAUGAGUAUAUUUUGGAAACUCUGAUACCUUGGAUAUAUGGUACCUCUGCAAGAAAUGGCUGGAUUCAGUGAGGAUUAAGACAUCUGUUUCAGUUUUAUAAAGCAUAUCAUACCUUUCCUCUCACGGUAGCACAAAUGGAAAACUACUAACUAAUAAACACUCAUGGGAAUACAUGCUGUGGUAACAGCUUCCCUCUCCAUCCAGUUUUUUUACAUUUACUCUGUUUGCCCCACCACACCAUGGAAAACAGGGUAGCAUUUGGCCCUUUAUAGGUAGCAAACGCUCACUUUCUCAUAUCAAUAUAGUGCUUGAACGGUGAGAAAUGCUGACAAUUCCAAAACCUGAAAGUGAAGAUUUCAUUAAUGUCUGUCUUGUUCUCACAAAUUAAAUCUAGUUCAGAAACUUCCUGUCCUGCCAGUAGUGUCGUGUCAAGAUGGGGAAAAAGAGGCAUUGAUGGACUGUAACGUAGACAAUAU